rnacentral:lncRNA from 1 species
GCUUCAAGAGAUGGUUCCGUUGCUUUGGGGUGAACUUGGUACCAGUGCCGUGUUACUUAUCCAGUUCUAACUCAAGAAAGUUCUGGAGGGCAUAAUGAUCUUAGAUAAGACCAAGGCCCCGAACCUGACCAUGUUCUGUCUUCUCUCUUUGGCAGCAUGUAAGCAGCUGUUUGCCAAGAACCCAGGUCACUGCUAAGAAAGGGUGCCUUCGGGAGAAGAGUGUCCAGAGGAUACCAAUGCCAGAUGCAUCUGGAGUUACACUCAGCACUCGCAGUAUGAGACAUUGUGUGCCAGCAUCUCUUUCCUUCUGGCAAAGACUGUAGCUCUCCAGGUAGGAGGAUCCUGGAAGCUGUGAGCACCAGGAGCCUUGCCAGAGGAGGAUGGGGCCAGAUAUGAACUCUCUACCAUGAACAUGGUUCUCGGCUUAUGAAGGAAUUUUAAGUAAAACAGUUAUUUAAUUUCCACAUAUUCAAGUCAAAAGCCUUCUGUGUGAAGUGCCAGUGAUUACCCCUCCACAGGA